CUUGUUUGUGCUCUAGGAAGUCCCCAAGAGCACAGGAGCCCAGAGACCUCGCAGGAGGAAGCAGCAGUAUCUGUGUUCCAAAUCCUGCCCAGCCCCCAGGCAGCCAUGCCUCCUGCCCCCAACAGGAUUCCUCACAUCCCAGGACCAGCUGGAAAAGGUGGUGAGAGUUGGAAAGAGACUGCUCAGUGAGGACUGCCCUGCGAACCAGCUUGGAUUCAUCCCGUUCACCUCCACGUUCUGCACUCGGGGCCGAGGGAAGGGAGGCAGCCCAGGCAGCUAGAGAACUUGAUGAAACACACUCAAUCUGAAUCUCGCUUGAUCGUCAUGCUGACCCAGUGAGGCCACUCCUCGACUUUUCAGCUCCCGCACGAUUCCUGAAGCAGGAAAAGAAACAGUUCUGUGAGUCUACUCAGGGUCAGGCAUCCUUUCCGACUACUCACUCAGCAGCGGAUCCCCACCCGCCUCUGACUCCCAGUGUCUUUCGGCUCCAACGUAAGUUCACCGAACGUCUAAGAGCUGAGGAUUCAAAGGCAUGUAAGACCGCCCCUGCCCUCAGCUGCAAGACCUGUCCGCGAUCCUACGAGCCCCAUUCCGCCCUCUUUCCCCGACCUUGGUCCCCCAUGGGCCCUACAACCAGGUCCCCGACUGACACCUUGACCAGCGAACACAGCAAACAGGCCCGCAGAUGCCGCAGGUCCUUCGGCACCGUCUCCAGGGCCAUCUUCGCCGAUGGGAAGAACAACAGGGAGAUAGACGACCACAGCCUGUGCACCCGCAGGAAGUAAAUAGCUCGUUACCCAGAAUGCCCACCACUUCCGGCGCUUAGACUUCCUCUUCCGGUGUGGGCGGACGCCAGCUCCGCCCCUACCCCCGCCAGAGGAGAUGGUUUCUCCCGCCAGCAGGCGGGGAGGCUGGGCGGCCGGCCGCCACCUGGGCCGGAGCGCGUCGCAGCCACCUGAGCCCGCCGAGGGCGCGGCGGAGGCUGUGUGGGGUAGUCAGCGGGCCCCCGGGGCGGGGGGGCGGCUGCGCUUGCGCGGGAGUGUGUCGGGCUGAGCCGCAGCGCCGAGACGCGGGCUGUUUGAUCUGGGCUGGUGGCCCUGGGCGUCGGUCCUGUUCCCCGAUGGUAACCCGAAGUUUGUUUUUUUUUGUUUUGUCUCCCCGUUUUAGAAGCAUUGGGGGCAGUGAAUCCACUGUCUCCCUCUGGAUUGUCUCUGCAGAGACCGAGAAGAAAUCCAGGGACAGCCCCACCCCUCCUUCCUAACUGCGAGAGCGCUAUAGGGUUUCCACUUGCUUCCCACAGGAAUGCUGGCCUGGGAGCUACGGCGGAAAAAAAUGCGUAUUUAUCUUUUAAAACUCCGUCUGUUUGCUCGUUCCGGCUGAUAAUUUAUACUUUGCGCAGUUCUUAGCGCUUAGACACGGUUCCUUUACUAAAGACCAUUUGUAGGAGAUUAGGUGUCCUUUUUUUCCCUUUCAUUUCACCGUCUAGGAAGCGAAAUGCCUUGUUCUAUAGGCACUAAACCACCACCCCUACCAAACCUUUCUCGGGGAAGCAGAAGGGGAACUUGUGCCUUGUGAGGAAGCGACAAAGGCCCCUUCUGGCCCUGGAGACUUCACGCCAAUGGAGCACCAGCUCUCUGUCCUCGCAAUAGCCCGAGUGCAGGCAGAACGCAGUCAUUUGUGUUUAUCUGAGAGGAGCUUUGGGAUAUAAAUAGUUUCAGGCCCCGCUGCGCUGUCAUUCCAGCCCAGCCUCCUGAUUGAGCUGCUUCCGGGCGGGCUUUCUUCUUGUUGGCGGUCCCAUGCUGUGUUCAGAUGGGCUCUGUGACAGGUUUGGAUGUUUUCUAUCACUGAAUAAAACUUUCCACUUUGGAACAUAUUUUCUACACUCUAUUAUCUCAUGUAAGUCCUGCAACAACUAUUAAGUAGGCCCAUUUUAUGGACUGAAAAAGCGAGGCACAGAGUAUUUGCCCAAGGUCUGAGUCACUGAAGUAUGAUAAUGUGUGAAGUGAACAGUAUAAUAAUAAUGACUGAAGCACAGUAAGAAUCCAGUCAUGCUUUCUCCUUCCCUGAUCUCACUAAGCCACACUUUUAGGGGCUUACAAACCAGUUCUUAUUGCCAAGCCCUCUACUCUACCCUAUCCUUUCAUGAAUCGGAGCCUAGCCUCUGAUAACAUAAAUAAUUUACUUCUCUUGAUGUAGAAAGAGAUGACGUUGUUACCCUGAGUGACAGUCACGACAGAACAAAACCACAAGACCAGACCACAUUUGUGGAUAAAUAUAUUAGCAAAUAAAUAUAUUUCUUAACAUAGUGCCUGAUUCAAGCGUCUGUCUGGUUCAGAUAUAAAUACCCAUGUGGGUACCUAGGUGCUAGUCUCCCCACUAACUGAGGGAAAAAGGUUCCCAGGUGGGGUCCUCUGCCCACUUUGCCACCACAUUCACAUUCCAAAUGGGAUAAUGCCUGAGGGGCCAAGAGUGGUCAGGCUGCCCUGGGGUGAAUGUCACCCUGAUGAGGCCCAUCAGCUCUUGUCCACUCAGUGAGGCCAGACUUGUGCUCUAAUCCACUCUCCUGUGGGUCCCUGGCCUGUAUGGCUUAUACUGGGG
rnacentral:lncRNA from 1 species